AUCUUGAACUUUGUCUUUGUCUGUCUUUGCCUUUUCAUUUCUAUUUUGGUUUCAGAUCAAUGUUUUUUUUACUUAUAUUUCAGUGGGUUUAUUUCUCUGCCGUUUCUUUGUUGCUAUUUUUGUAACCCCUGCUUCAUCGGAGGCUGAUUUCAGUGUUUUUAGGGUUUAUAUUUAUAGAGUGAAUGAUGAAAUAAAGAAGAGCCGAUUGUUUGUUUUGAGUUCUCACUUAACCCGUUUGCCUCUGGCAUCUUCCCUCAUGGCUUCGGAGAAAGAAGCUGCCCUUGCUGCUGCUCCCUCUGAUUCUCCUACCAUAUUUGACAAAAUCAUCAACAAGGAAAUCCCAGCUACCGUGGUGUAUGAAGAUGAUAAGCCAAACUUAUGUAGCAACUGCUUGUGGGCCCUACUUCAUUGGUGACUGAUUUCAGAUAUAUUUAUUCAUCACUCGAAGCAAAGCAAAAGGGAAAGUAGGAGGUUUUUGAGGAGAGUGAAAAAUGGUUGGUUCUACUUCAUCGGAGAUUGAUAUCAGGUUUUUGGUUUUCAGAUUCAAAGAAUCACUGUUUCGUUCAGUUGAAAUUAUGGAUCUGUGCGGUAUUUUUUGUUUGUUUAUCAUGUUUUUUGUUUUUGAAUUUUCUGUUUUUCAGCAGAAGAUUGUUGGGGCUGGGGUUGUUGGGCUUAGCUUGAAUUCAGUACAGAUUUUUUUAAGUGUGCUGUUGCAUUUGAUUUUCGUUCUUAUUCCUAUUCCGCUGCAGUAUAAGCUAUUCUGUGGAUAUCCCCUUUAUAUUCCGUCCCGCGUCAGGAUUUUUGCAGUCCGGUUCAGUUGUUUUAGUGUACGGUUCAGUUUUUUUAUGUUUGGACCGGACGACUUGUCGAUCUUAUUCUAAGGAGGGAUAUCCUAUUCUUGGGUUAUGCCGGUCUGGGAUAUCCCAUUCCAAGGGUAUCCGGUUCGGGGAUAUCCCAUUCCCAGUAUAUCCCGCGGAUGGUUAAGUUUUUUUUUUUAAAAGAAAAGUAAUAGGCUGUUAUUAAAAUGCAAAACUACAUUAAACCAACCGGACUAAAAUAAAGACCCAAAAACGAUACAGGCCCAAAGUAAAAAAAAGGUCUGGAAAAACUGAAACAAAAAAGAGACGAAAAGAAUCAAAAUAAAAAAGAUAUGUAUCCAAAAAGUGACAGACACAUGAAAAAAUAAUGAAUGAAGAGAGAAAAUGACACUUUCUUUUAUUGGUUUUUUUCAUAAAGAUUACAAAUGAAAACAUUUUCAGGUACACUUUCUUUUAUUGGUUUUUUCAUAAAGAUUACAAAUGAAAACAUUUUAAUAAAUUAUAAAUAUUUUGAAUUUUAAAAUAAUUGUAAUUUAUUUAAAAGAAAAUUUAACACUGAUUUAAAAUUUAAAAUAGAUACAUUAAAUAACUUCCAACGUCUCUCUAAAUUCUUGAUGAGAGACGCUUCUUUCUCCUCUAAAUUGUGUCUCCUCUGUCUCCUUUUAUUCUGACUUUUACCUUUUUUAUUAUUAUUUUUUUAUUUUCUCGUCCUCCCUUUCUUUACUACGCAGAUUCUAUUGGGGUCUCUUUCCAUUUUUUUUGUCCUGACCUUUCUUUUUUAACUUUUGUGUAAACGCAUGCCGAAAUCCCCUUCUUCAUCGGAUUGUGAUUUUAGGGAUUCAGUGCUGAAAGCUUUGAAUGGCCAUUAUGACCAUGGCCGAAUAGAAAUGAAGAAAAUUCUUCCCAAAAUCUCCUUCACACUUUCUCUGCAAAUGCGUUCAGAGUUGCUUCUUUUAUCACAGCAAUACACUUUCAGGUUUGGAGAUAUGGUGCAACAGAUGAAAAUUUGUUAAGAAAUAUACCUUAUAGUGCUUUGGAGCAGACAAGUUGAUGUCCAGACACUAGAGGGUCAAAUGGAAACAGAAGUUAUGGUAGCGGGCAGUAUAGACGGCUCCUUCAGUUUAACACGGAGGGGCAUCUUCUAAGGCUUCCUCUUCCAGAAUGUUGGGUGGUCUCAUAACUGCAUAUGCUUAUUGAUGCUGUCACUGAGAGUUAUAACAAAUAUUUCUUUGGGGACGUUGGGAGAGAAAUAUAUGAUUUCUUUUGGGGUGAUUUUGCUGACCGGUGCAAAAUCUAUAAUAAACAGAAGUUGAAACUGCUUAUGGUAUUGGAAUUUUUGAAAACAUUGGCUCAUUUCGUCUCAUUCACCCCCAUUUUUUUAAAAUAGUAGCUAUUUUCUUUCGGUCUCUUGUCUCCUGUCUUUCCAUCCGUCCAUGGCUAUUUUAUUGUUAAUCCUGCUGUCGCCCUUUUCAUUCCUGUUUUAGUUUCAGAUAUAUGCUUCUUGUUACUAAUAUUUUCAGUAUGUUUUUAUCAUGGUUUUUUGUUUUCACCUUUAGAGAAUCGCUGUUUCCUUCCUUAUUGGAAACGAUAGAUGUCAGUGGUUAGAAACCAAAAUUGAUAAUUAAGUACCAAAAUGUGAAUAAAAAUUUAAGUAACAAAAAUGUUAAAGAAAUAUAUAUAAUUUAGAAGCUAAAAGGGUGAAUAAAGUCAUUAAGAAAAAACCUAAGGUUUUAAGUUUUUCUCAACCGCUACCACAGUAUUGUGUCCAAUUCAAAAGGAUGAAGAUAGCAGUGGAGGGGUGCAUGCAUGGAGAUCUCGACAAGGUCUACGACACCAUUAAAUAUAUUUUUAUCGGUGGAAAUCAUGAAGCUUCCAAUUAUUUAUGGGAAUUGUGUUAUGGGGGAUGGGCAGCACCUAAUAUAUACUUCUUGGGGUUUGCUGGGUUGUGAAGUUUGGCAAUAUCCGUAUCGGUGGACUUUCCGGAAUUUACAAUGCGCGUAAUUAUUUUAUAGGACAUCAUGUCCGGGAGUAUGAUGUUCACAAGCUUAUGCACCUAGAGGAACUCGUCCGCUAUAGAAAAACAUUUCAAAGAUGAGAUUUCCUAGAUCCAGCAAGGAACGCUUGUAAGCAAGCCUGCUGCUCAGCUUCUCGAAAAACUCAAACCAUUGUAUUGGUUUUCAGCUCACUUGCACUGCAAAUUCACAGCUCUUGUUGAACAUGAAGAGAGUGGUUGAGUGACAAAAUUUCUUGCAGUCAUAAUUGCUUUACAGGGCGCAAGUUCUUGCAGGUAUCUAUCAUAUGUUCUGACCAUUUCAUUUAGGCUCUUUCUUUUGGUCUUUGCUGGAAGCUAAUAAAUAAAUUCUGGCUUUCUCUGAUCUUUUAUAUUGUUGAUAUUGAAUCUGAUCCAGGACCUUAUGAGGUUCAGUACGAUGAAGAAUGGCUGGCAAUAACAAGGAAAUUGAAUUGUCUUUCCUUUGACCUUCAGGAGAACACAGCUUGACAUGCAGGAUUGUCGUCAAUGGGUUAAUAGCAGGAUGGAAGACAGAAGAGCCAAACCUUGUGAAUUUUCUCAAACAGCGCCACCUCACAAACCCUUUGAUUCAGUUUCAAACGCUACUUUUUCUGGUUCUCCCUGUAAUCCUCAGAUUGUAUCUUUCUUGGAAUUGCUAGAUCUUCCUUAUCCUCAAAAGGGUAGAGUUUUCUAUUUACCUUGCCCCACUCAGUUUUGAUGAUGUUACAGCAUCCGUUAUGUGAUAGACCAGUUUAGGAUUAUUCGAGUUCAAGAAGAAUACCUUUUCAGGAGUUUCGGAGAAAUCACCUAGAAUAACCAAGCUUUUGAAGCUUUCAAGUUAAUAAUCCGUUAAACUAAUGAAUGGAGGGCUUUAAACAAAGCCAACAAUUGUUUCGGGUUUACCCAUUUAUUAUAAAGUUAAUAAUCCGUUAAACUAAUGAAUGGAGGGCUUUAAACAAAGCCAACAAUUGUUUCGGGUUUACCUAUUUAUUAUACAGCUGAUUUUGUUUGCCUUUCUA